rnacentral:rRNA from 1 species
GACGAACGCUGGCGGCGUGCUUAACACAUGCAAGUCGAACGAUGAUGCUCCAGCUUGCUGGGGUGGAUUAGUGGCGAACGGGUGAGUAACACGUGAGUAACCUGCCCCCUUCUUCGGGAUAAGCUUGGGAAACUGGGUCUAAUACUGGAUAUUCUGCAAUUGUCGCAUGGUGGUUGUGGGAAAGAUUUUUUGGUGGGGGAUGGGCUCGCGGCCUAUCAGCUUGUUGGUGGGGUGAUGGCCUACCAAGGCGUCGACGGGUAGCCGGCCUGAGAGGGUAACCGGCCACACUGGGACUGAGAUACGGCCCAGACUCCUACGGGAGGCAGCAGUGGGGAAUAUUGCACAAUGGGCGCAAGCUUGAUGCAGCGACGCCGCGUGAGGGAUGACGGCUUUCGGGUUGUAAACCUCUUUCGAUGGGGAACAAGGCCAUAUUUUUGUGUGGUUGAGGGUACCUGUAUAAGAAGCGCCGGCUAACUACGUG